rnacentral:rRNA from 1 species
GAGCGUGCGUUUAAUUGGAUUCACACCGGAAAACUCACCAAGGGAGACCAUCACAUGAAAGCCAGGCUAAUGACUUUGCUUGAUUCUUGGAGAAGUGGUGCAUGGCCAUCGUCAGUUCGUACUGUAAAGCGUUCUCUUAAGUGAGAUAACGAACAAGACCCUCACUUAUAAUUGCUACUCGUCUGUCCGCAGGCGAGGCACAUUAUCGGGACCGCUGGCGCUAAGUCAGAGGAAGGAGAGGUCAACGGUAGGUCAGUAUGCCCUGAAUCUCUUGGGCUACACGCGCGCUACAAAGGGCGGGACAAUGGGUCCCUACACCGAAAGGUGGAGGCAAUCUCGAAACCCGUCCGUAGUUCGGACUGAGGGUUGUAACUCACCCUCACGAAGCUGGAUUCCGUAGUAAUCGCGAAUCAACAACUCGCGGUGAAUAUGCCCCUGCUCCUUGCACACACCGCCCGUCAAACCACCCGAGUCGGGUUUCAGUGAGGUUACCUUUAAUUGGGGUAUUCGAACUGAGAUUCAGCAAGGGAGGUUAAGUCGUAACCAAGGUAACCAGACUGGAGAUCUGGAUCCCUCGAG